rnacentral:rRNA from 1 species
GACAGAGGAUGCAAGCGUUAUCCGGAAUGAUUGGGCGUAAAGCGUCUGUAGGUGGCUUUUCAAGUCCGCCGUCAAAUCCCAGGGCUCAACCCUGGACAGGCGGUGGAAACUACCAAGCUGGAGUACGGUAGAGGGGGAUGGAAUUCCGCGUGUAGCAGUGAAAUGCGUAGAUAUGCGGAGGAAUACCGAUGGCGAAGGCAGCAAACUGGUCCGUAUCGUGACACUGAGGCGCGAAAGCGUGGGUAGCAAACAGG